UUAACCCUUCAUUUCAUGUUGUAUCAAUUUUGAUACAAAGUGAAAUAACCCCCAUUGAAUCUACACAAAUGUUAAAAUCUGAGUUUUUAAUAUGCCAUACUCUAGCUUGAUCACUUUUGACCCAACUUCAUACCCAAAACAGACUAUAGGUGUGUUUCGUCUCACACAAUUCGAGUUUGAUUCCGUUUUUUUACACUGGUCGGACAGCUGUGAUCGAGGUGUUUUUGAGAAAAUAAUAAAAAUUCACAGGCCGUGUUUUUCUUCUUGAAAAAAAUAUUCACCAAUCUCAGGUGAGUAAUUUUACCUAAAAAUAAGUUGUUUGCAUACUAUUUCUUUAUAUUUGUGCUGAUAAUGUCCAAUUACGGUAUGUAACAGUUUUGAUACACCAUGCAACGGUAUGACCAUGACACUUGCUGGGACUACUGUAUAGUGACUUUUCUGUAGUAUAAUAAUUAGUUGAUAGAACAAUUCCUAACAUCUAGUAGGUAGACUCUAGUCAACUGUUGGUUCUUACACUAGCUUAGGAUCUCUUUUUGUCUAGAGCGAGCGAUAAAUUUUGUCGCAAAACUGUUCUGAAUGAAAUAGAUGGUAGACUUCAAGGAGAAUGUAAAUGAAAGUGAAGUUGGUGAUGGGUAAAGAUUCUCACAAAAGAAUUCUGUCUGAAAUAGAGACUGCACAUUUCUUUGGUCACUAAUGUCUAAUUAUUCAUCUAUUUAUUUACCUAAUGUUGAAGGUGUUACUGUAACUGAAAUUGAACACUUAGAAAGUGAUGUAGAGAGAAUAAAGGGAUUGGUUCGGAGCAAGUAAAGCGGUAGACUUUAUUCUGAUAUACAUUUAUAAGCUGUAGGCCUACAUUUAUAAGAUGUACAUUCAUAAGAUGUAAGCAGAUGCUAGUCCAGCAAAGUGGUUAACUAAAACACAUGAAUGUUUUCUAUUAUUUGUGAGGAAUAGGAACUGACCAACAUAGUUUUUAGUGCAAGGCCUUCCGGCUGUUCAAGAUUAUUUUAUUUCACACCAUGGAUAAAGACUAUCUUAGUAUACUGGGUGAAAGGAUUUUCUAGAUCUACAUUGCACAGAGGAAUCCAGAUAAAGCUUGAAGUCUUUGAUAUAGAAGAAAUAAAUCAAUUCAUUGGCUUCUACCAGUCAUGUCUCUGGUUUCAUUGCAUAGGAAAAAGUUCUAAUAAUGGCCAAAUAUCAGCAUUGUAGAUAUAUUCUAAUUUCUUUCAUAUAAACAAGUUUGAGUCAUUAAAAACUACUUUGCAUUUAAAACAAAACAAUUUCAAAUUAUACUAGAUAGAGGUCAUGCUGAGCAAAGUGAUGCUGCUUAUUGACUUACACAAUAAAAAGAUGCAUGAUUACUAAGAAAUAUGACAUAACUGGUAAUAGCAAUAUUGUGAAAAAAAUGUAAAUUACUACCUUGUAAAUGAAUGUCUGAUGCUCCAGAUUUGGGAUGAAUAAGUGUUUUACUCAAAUUAAUAAUUACUCAAUAAAUUUUCAAUGAUAAGUAAAAAAUACUUUUUUGUCAAUUUUAACAAAUUUUUACCCACCAUUGCAUACUGUAUCAAAUCUGAUACAUACUGUUAUUUUGCAAAAUAAACAUUAUUUGAUAAAAUAAUUCAAUUUCCUCAUUAUUUAUGCUCUCUACACACCACAGCCCACCUUGUAAGAUUUUUUUUUCUCAAAAAGCUUUCACAAAAUUAAUUCAUGAAAUGAAGG